UAACUCCACUGUGGCCAUGGCUCCAGUGAAAAAACUUGUGGCGAAGGGGGGCAAAAAAAAGAAGCAGGUUCUGAAGUUCACUCUUGAUUGCACCCACCCCGUAGAAGAUGGAACCAUGGAUGCUGCCAAUUUUGAGCAGUUUUUGCAAGAAAGGAUCAAAGUGAACGGAAAAGGUGGGAACUUUGGUGGAGGGGUGGUGACCAUCGAAAGGAGCAAGAGCAAGAUCACCGUGACAUCUGAGGUGCCUUUCUCCAAAAGGUAUUUGAAAUAUCUCACCAAAAAAUAUUUGAAGAAGAAUAAUCUACGUGACUAGUUGCUCGUAGUUGCUAACAGCAAACAGAGUUACGAAUUACAUUACUUCCAGAUUAACCAGGACGAAGAAGGGAGGAAGAUGAGGAUUAAAUUUCAUUUAUCCGGAAUAUUUUGUAUGAGUUCUUGAAUAAAACUUGGGAACCAAAAUGGUGGUUUAUCCUUGUAUCUCUGCAGUGUGGAUUGAACAGAAAAUUGGAAAUCAUAGUCAAAGGGCUUCUCUUGGUUCGCCACUCACUUAUAUGUAACUUGACUUUUUUUUUUCUGCUUAAAAAUUUCAAUUCUCAUGGUAAUACCAGAGUAGAAGGAGAGGGUGACUUUACGGAACUGACAGCCAUUGGGGAGGCAGAUGCCGGUGUGGUGGUGUGGGCUGAAGGUAGUGACUGUUUGAUUUUUAAAAGUGUGACUGUCAGUUGUAUCUGUUGCUUUUCUCAAACAAUGAUUCAGGGAUACAAGUGGGCUCCUCUCGUUCAUUAAAAGAAAACGUGACAUCUUUCUAAGAUUCUCAGUGGGAAAAAGACAGUGUCAAUAAAAUGCGGGUUUCUGGGCCAUUCAUCUUACUUUCAUUUUUUGAUCACAAAUUUGACACACACAAUUAUGUCUGUUAAUCCUCUUCUUCCUAGAGAGAGAAACUGUGCUCCUUCAGCGUUGCUGCGUAGUCCGUCACUCUCCAUAAAGCUGUUUGGGGAAUCGAUUGUAAAAGUCCCAGGUUCUAAAUUAAAUGUGUACAGAAAUGAAUGUGUAAGUAAUGUUUCUACAAGUCUUUGCAACAAACUGUGACUUCGGUCUCCAGCAGAGGGAGCUGGAGGAAUAGUGCUUCCAGAAGUGGUCUCCCAUGUGGGGCCCAGAGAUGGCAGCCCCUGAUGGCAAAAGCUCUGGAGACUCUGGAGAAGCGGGGACACCAAGGAAAAGUAACUGGGAAGCCUCCCAUGCCAAGGAGAUGGGAGGUGCCCUGGAAAUAGCUGCCUCAUGCCACUUAGACCUUGACUGGAUUUAAUGUCAGAAGUUACUCUACAAACAGUGGUAUGCCGCAGUGCAGAGGCUAGACGACUGUGAACGGGGCGACCAAAGCUGGCAAAAGAAGAUGGAAUUGUUGCCAUGAGUGACUUUGAAAGACCCUGGUGCCUUGUGGUGCCCUUCUGAAAUUCGAACAGUAAUGCAGAAGUGUCUGCUUUAGAAUUUACAGUGUCUAAAAUUCAUGUUUUUAAAAGAGCUUGCCUACAGAUGGUUUCCACACCCGAAAUUGUGCCCUGUGAAUUGCAUAGCUGGAAGUUCAAUGCUCAGUCCAACCUUGGCUCCCAUUAAACAUUUGGUGCUCUGUGGAUUGAGUUGAACAUGUUGAGGCUUUGCAAUUUCAGUCGUGUUAAAGGCUCUGGCAUUUUUCCAUUUCUAUGCAAAUUUAUUUGAAGUAGAAUUGCUUGCGUAUUUCUUCUCUGCCUUCACAGAAAGCAGAGUUUCUUUGAAACUUCACUGAGGCAUCAGUUGCUCUUUGGCAAUGUCCCUUACCAUGAUUAUUAAGUUUGUGGCUUGAGUUUACAAAUUUCGUUUGUUGCAUUGAUGUUCUCAUGUAGUAAUUUUUAGUUUGGUUGUGAAAAAACCCUGGGCUGAAGUUAGCAUUUAAGUUAAAAGAAAAAAAAAAAACUAGUCCCAGAUUUGAAAACUUGUAAUAAAAUUGAAACUCACUGGUUUUCUGUGACUUUUUCAACUCUUGUAAUCGAGUUUUGAUCACAUUUUCUAUUAAAGUGGCCAACACCUGGCUA